rnacentral:rRNA from 1 species
CAGCAGCCGCGGGAAUACGGAGGGUGCAAGCGUUAAUCGGAAUUACUGGGCGUAAAGCGCACGCAGGCGGUCUGACAAGUCAGAUGUGAAAUCCCCGGGCUUAACCUGGGAACUGCAUUUGAAACUGUCAGGCUGGAGUCUUGUAGAGGGGGGUGGAAUUCCAGGUGUAGCGGUGAAAUGCGUAGAGAUCUGGAGGAAUACCGGUGGCGAAGGCGGCCCCCUGGACAAAGACUGACGCUCAGGUGCGAAAGCGUGGGGAGCAAACAGGAUUAGAGACCCGAGUAGUCCCUGUCUCUUAUCC